rnacentral:rRNA from 1 species
AACGAACGCUGGCGGCAGGCUUAACACAUGCAAGUCGAGCGCCCCGCAAGGGGAGCGGCAGACGGGUGAGUAACGCGUGGGAAUCUACCCAUCUCUACGGAAUAACGCAUGGAAACGUGUGCUAAUACCGUAUACGUCCUUCGGGAGAAAGAUUUAUCGGAGAUGGAUGAGCCCGCGUUGGAUUAGCUAGUUGGUGGGGUAAAGGCCUACCAAGGCGACGAUCCAUAGCUGGUCUGAGAGGAUGAUCAGCCACACUGGGACUGAGACACGGCCCAGACUCCUACGGGAGGCAGCAGUGGGGAAUAUUGGACAAUGGGCGCAAGCCUGAUCCAGCCAUGCCGCGUGAGUGAUGAAGGCUCUAGGGUUGUAAAGCUCUUUCACCGGUGAAGAUAAUGACGGUAACCGGAGAAGAAGCCCCGGCCAACUUCGUGCCAGCAGCCGCCGUAAAAC